GCCGCGGUAGCUCAGUGGUAGAGCAUUGCUCUGAAAAAGCAAGGGUGGAAGGUUCGAUUCCUUUCCGCGGCA
rnacentral:tRNA from 1 species